CCAAUAGCGUAUAUUAAAGUUGUUGCAGUUAAAAAGCUCGUAGUUGAAUUUCGGGAUUUAUCCGUCGGUCGGGCUUUUGGGUCUGUACUGGCGUGAUGAAUUCCUACCUUCUGAAUAACCGGCAUGUCAUUAAUUUGGUGCGCUGGGGAAGCAGGACUGUUACCUUGAAAAAAUUAGAGUGCUUAAAGCAGGCUAUUGCCUGAAUACAUUAGCAUGGAAUAAUGAAAUAGGACGGCAUGGUUCUAUUUUGUUGGUUUCUAGGAUCACCGUAAUGAUUAAUAGGGAUAGUUGGGGGAAUUAGUAUUCAAUUGUCAGAGGUGAAAUUCUUGGAUUUAUUGAAGACUAACUACUGCGAAAGCAUUUGCCAAGGAUGUUUUCAUUAAUCAAGAACGAAAGGUAGGGGAUCGAAGACGAUCAGAUACCGUCGUAGUCUUAACCAUAAACUAUGCCGACUAGGGAUCGGAUGAUGUUAUUUUUAAUGACUCAUUCGGCGCCUUACG
rnacentral:rRNA from 1 species